GAUGAAGAACGCAGCAAAAUGCGAUAAUUAAUGUGAAUUGCAGAAUUUAGUGAAUCAUCGAAUCUUUGAACGCACAUUGCGCCCCUUGGUAUUCCGGGGGGCAUGCCUGUUCGAGCGUCAUUUCAACCCUCAAGCUCUGCUUGGUCUUGGGCCGCGCCGGCGACGGCGGGCCUCAAAAACAGUGGCGGCGCCAUCUGGUUCCUCAGCGUAGUAAUUCUUCUCGCUGUUGGGCCCGGGUGGCCGCUGGCCAGCAACCCCAAAUUUUCUAUGGUUGACCUCGGAUCAGGUAGGGAUACCCGCUGAACUUAAGCAUAUCAAUAAGCGGAGGA
rnacentral:misc_RNA from 1 species